rnacentral:lncRNA from 1 species
GGUGGACUAGUCUUGCACCACACGGCAGUGGCACUACCCUAUAUGAUAACAUGAUAAUAUUAUUGCUGAUGUGUUAAUUGUUUUUGUUUUCAGCUCCAACUUCCAAGUUGUAGAGUAGUUGAAACAUGAAAGAAACUGAAACCAAAACGAAUAAAAAACUAGGUAAGGUAGUUAGGGUUCUAAGGUCAUGCGAUUUGCGUUUACCCAUCAUUUCCAACUCACAUACAAUCUUUUUAAAUAUCUUCUUCUUUAACUAUCUAAAACACAUAAAAAAAAAAGGAGUAAUUUUAGCAAGAUUACAUUAAUUUAAUCACAUUAUGAAGUAUUUGUAUUCUGUACAAUACAAUCGUUCAUAACAAUUGAUAUACAGUGAACUCCGUAUGUCACGUAUUAAAAACAAAUUUCUCUCCUUCAUGCAUG